rnacentral:rRNA from 1 species
UAUGUUCGGAAUAGAUAACCGCUGAAAGCAUCUAAGCGGGAAACUAGCCUCAAGAUGAGAUCUCACUGGGAACUUGAUUCCCCUGAAGGGCCGUCGAAGACUACGACGUUGAUAGGUCGGGUGUGUAAGCGCUGUGAGGCGUUGAGCUAACCGAUACUAAUUGCCCGUGAGGCUUGACCAU